GUGUCAGCAGCCGCGGUAAUACAGAGGCCACAAGCGUUAGACGGAAUCACUGGGCUUAAAGCGUGUGUAGGCGGGAUGGUAAGUACCUUGUGAAAUCCCACAGCUUAACUGUGGAAAUGCUUGGUAUACUGCCGUUCUUGAGUCACCUAGGGGCAGCUGGAACAGAUGGUGGAGCGGUGAAAUGCAUAGAUAUCAUCUGGAACGCCAAUGGUGCAGACAAGCUGCUGGGGGUGUACUGACGCUGAGGCACGAAAGCCAGGGGAGCAAACGGGAUUAGAAACCCCUGUAGUCC
rnacentral:rRNA from 1 species